rnacentral:lncRNA from 1 species
CUGACCAUAUAUUGAAAUUGAAUAAACUAAAAGGAAAAGAAGAAACGUGAGUAUAUAUGUACUUGUGAAUAAAGGAGAAUAGGGAUAGACUGGUAGGACAGCAGCCAGGCUGAGCAGUUCAGUCUUCGAGUCGCGCUAGGAUUCAGAUUUCAGAGUGUCUGCUGGGCUGCUGCUUUGAGUUUGCCGAUGUCGGAGUCUGAUGGCCGUGCCCGGCGGCAGUUUCGCGGCCGUCAAGUUAUCAUCUGACCCCACGAUUUUACGCACGCACGCGAGAGACGGAAAGGAUACGACGGGCGGUAGACGAACAGACGGCGCCACGAGGGAAUCAGGAAGGUUGCGAGCGAAUGAAGUCAGUCCUGACUCUACGCCUUCGUUGUGCCGAGCGGAGGGACCAGUCUGUAGCUCCACCCCUCUUCGCCAGGCCCUUAGACAAGAGUGGACGCCCACACACAUAUAGAUAAAAACGGACCAGGUAUGUAAGUGAUGAUAUUAUCAUCUGAUACCAUAUUUAUAUCUGAAUCUUUAAAUCAUGUAUUUAUAAUGUUAACAUCUAAUUAUAACCUAUCCAGCAUGUGUGACUAUCCAAAUUUGAUUAGAAAUAAGAAAAAAAAAUAAUAUUAAUCAUACCCCUUCAUAUUCGAUCCGUUUUCAUCCCGACCCAUAGGAAGAAAACAUAUUUCCACUGCUAAAAUCUACGUUCCCAUAAAAUAAGUACGUACCUCCUUAAAUUUACUCUACCUCUGUCACCUGCGUUACCAUAACUAGGUGAAUUUUCCGCGCGUUGC